GCACAAAAAGCUGAACUAAAAGCUAUCAUUGCUGCCUUAAAAUAUGCAAAACAUAGAAGAGUGAAUAUUUUUUCAGAUUCUGCUUACAUUGUAAAUGCUGUACAUAUGGAACUUCCACAGUGGGAAAAAGGUGGAUAUCUGACAUCCACUCACAAACCAAUUAAACAUGCCAAACUCAUGAAGGACUUGGCACAGGCUCUCUUAGAACCCACAGAAGUGGCAGUUGUUAAACACGAAAAGCCAG